AUGGCACGAGUGCACGGUCAUGGCGCCAUGGCGGGCGAAGCGCGAGGGAUGUUGGGAUGGCAGUGUGCACUACUCGCACGAGCUCCGUGUUUCCGUUGUAAGUUCAGUUGCAAACUCUUAAUAAACGGAAGAAGCAGAAUAGCUGCAAGAAGUUUGCAGCGCAAAAAGUCUCUCCCCCUCUCGCGCCCACCUUUGUUUACAUCUCCGGUGAUCAUCGGAGCCAGUGGCGUCGAGGUCUGCCUGACAAUUGGCAUUAGAGCUGGUUUGCUCGGUCACCUGCGGAGAUGGCAGGACCUGACAACCCCGGGAAGAGUGGUGGAUUCAGGGAACAACGGCGGCAGCGCCAUGGUUGUACACCAGCGCGUCGUUCACGAGACCGGCGGUGCCUGGCCCAUGCCGACGCUCAUGAACUACGCCGACCAGGCCCUCCUGAUGCAAGUCAUGCUGGAGGCGCACCAGCUCUGGGUCAUCAUCAACGACGGGACCACGGAGCGAGAAACAGAUCACACGGCAAUGGAGUGCCUGCUGCGAUCGCUGCCGCCGAAGAUGGUAUCCAUGCUCGCCGUAAAGGCCACGGCGAAGGACGCCUAG
rnacentral:rRNA from 1 species